CCUACGGGGGGCAGCAGUGGGGAAUAUUGCACAAUGGGGGAAACCCUGAUGCAGCGACGCCGCGUGAGUGAAGAAGUAUUUCGGUACGUAAAGCUCUAUCAGCAGGGAAGAAAAUGACGGUACCUGACUAAGAAGCCCCGGCUAACUACGUGCCAGCAGCCGCGGUAAUACGUAGGGGGCAAGCGUUAUCCGGAUUUACUGGGUGUAAAGGGAGCGUAGACGGCAGCGCAAGUCUGGAGUGAAAUCCCAUGGCUUAACCAUGGAACUGCUUUGGAAACUGUGCAGCUAGAGUGCAGGAGAGGUAAGCGGAAUUCCUAGUGUAGCGGUGAAAUGCGUAGAUAUUAGGAGGAACACCAGUGGCGAAGGCGGCUUACUGGACUGUAACUGACGUUGAGGCUCGAAAGCGUGGGGAGCAAACAGGAUUAGAUACCCCAGUAGUA
rnacentral:rRNA from 1 species